GUAGUCUGCAACUCGACUACAUGAAGCUGGAAUCGCUAGUAAUCGCGAAUCAGCAUGUCGCGGUGAAUACGUUCCCGGGUCUUGUACACACCGCCCGUCACACCAUGGGAGUCGGGAAUGCCCGAAGCCGGUGACCCAACCUUAGGGAGGGAGCCGUCGAAGGCAGAUUCGAUAACUGGGGUGAAGUCGUAACAAGGUAGC
rnacentral:rRNA from 1 species